GCAAAGUCUCCGGUGGGACACGGAAGAGUAAAAGUGAGAGAAAAAGGGAAGGCGAGCAGGAGAGGGCCAGAGAGGCAGAAAGGAGGGCAGCGCUGGGAGAAGACAUGAAAAAUUAGAACAGGAGCUCAGAGCACUCGGGAGAGCAGGGGAAAUGACAGUUGAAAUUAGAACAGGAGCUAAGAGGAGCCAGCAGAAGGGGACGGCAGGAACUAGGAAAUUUAAGGCGGGGAGAAACAACUGAGAGAAGUGGACAGAAAAAAGAAAGCUUAGCAUAAAUAAGAAGGCCCGGGACUCCCGUGCGUCCAGUAGACCUGCUCUGCUAUGGAUCAAAACAAAUGAUUUGUCAUUCUGAAAUGACUCUGAAAGGGGGAAUGGAAUGUGCCCCAACGAUCAAUAUUAAAUUUUAUGCCUGCUGCACCUUUCAAAAGGCUCAAGAAGACAUUGAUUCAAGACCCGUGUUUUCUGUAUGAGUCCACAAGAUCGAAGACUUUAUGGACAGAAGUCAUGUAUCUUCAACACAG